rnacentral:rRNA from 1 species
UACGUAGGGUCCGAGCGUUGUCCGGAAUUAUUGGGCGUAAAGGGCUCGUAGGCGGUCCGUCACGUCGGGAGUGAAAACUCAGGGCUCAACCCUGAGCGUGCUUCCGAUACGGGCGGACUAGAGGUAUGCAGGGGAGAACGGAAUUCCUGGUGUAGCGGUGGAAUGCGCAGAUAUCAGGAGGAACACCUAUGGCGAAGGCAGCACUCUGGUACGUGACUGACGCUGAGACGCGAAAGCGUGGGGAGCAAACAGG